rnacentral:rRNA from 1 species
UACGUAGGGGGCAAGCGUUGUCCGGAAUUAUUGGGCGUAAAGCGCGCGCAGGCGGUCAUUUAAGUCUGGUGUUUAAGCCCGGGGCUCAACCCCGGUUCGCAUCGGAAACUGGAUGACUUGAGUGUAGGAGAGGAAAGUGGAAUUCCACGUGUAGCGGUGAAAUGCGUAGAGAUGUGGAGGAACACCAGUGGCGAAGGCGACUUUCUGGCCUAUAACUGACGCUGAGGCGCGAAAAGCGUGGGGAGCAACAGGG